UGCCCCAUGGCUGAGUUGGUUACAGCGUCCGACUGUUAACGUAAUGGUAUCGGAAGGUCGUGAGUUCGAGCCUCACUGGGGCAG
rfam:Gloeophyllum trabeum ATCC 11539 unplaced genomic scaffold GLOTRscaffold_00003, whole genome shotgun sequence.